rnacentral:rRNA from 1 species
GACGAACGCUGGCGGCGUGCCUAACACAUGCAAGUCGAACGGAGUAAGAGAGAAGCUUGCUUUUCUCUUACUUAGUGGCGGACGGGUGAGUAACGCGUGAGUAACCUGCCUUUCAGAGGGGGAUAACAUCCUGAAAAGGAUGCUAAUACCGCAUGAUCUGUCGAGGUCACAUGGCCUUGACAGCAAAGGAGCAAUCCGCUGAAAGAUGGACUCGCGUCCGAUUAGCUAGUUGGAGGGGUAAAGGCCCACCAAGGCGACGAUCGGUAGCCGGACUGAGAGGUUGAACGGCCACAUUGGGACUGAGACACGGCCCAGACUCCUACGGGAGGCAGCAGUGGGGGAUAUUGCACAAUGGAGGAAACUCUGAUGCAGCAACGCCGCGUGAGGGAAGACGGUUUUCGGAUUGUAAACCUCUGUCCUUGGUGACGAAAAAAAUGACGGUAGCCAAGGAGGAAGCUCCGGCUAACUACGUG